AUUGAACGCUGGCGGCAGGCCUAACACAUGCAAGUCGAGCGAGCGGCGGCCGGGUGAGUAAUGUAUGGGGACUGCCCGAUAGAGGGGGAUAACUACUGGAAACGGUGGCUAAUACCGCAUACUAUCGGAUAAUCCAUAUGGGAUUGGAGAGUAGGUGGGGUAAAGGCUAACCUAGGCGACGAUCUCUAGCUGGUCUGCUAGGAUGAGCAGCAACACUGGGACUGAGACAUGGCCCAGACUCCAAGGGAGGCAGCAGUGGGAAAGAUUGGACAAUGGGCGGAAGCCGUAUGCAGCCAUGCCGCGUGUAUGAAAAAGGCCUUAGGGUUGUAAAGAACUUUCAGCGGGGAGGCGUUACCCGCAGAAUAAGCACCGGCUAACUCCGUGCCAGCAGCCGCGGUAAUAC
rnacentral:rRNA from 1 species